CGUGGUUUUGCUACCGUUGCCAUGGCGACACUUCCGGUGCGGCCAACCGGAAGUGGCGGCGCUGCCGGGAGGCGCCGCCGGAUUUCUCCGGACCCCUCCCCCACACCAAAGGCUGGAACCCCCUCCAGGAGCUGCAAAAAUUCCCCAAA